GACGAACGCUGGCGGCGUGCUUAACACAUGCAAGUCGAGCGGGAAACUUCGGUUUCCAGCGGCGGACGGGUGAGUAACACGUGGGCAACCUGCCUCACAAUGAGGGAUAGCCUUCCGAAAGGAAGAUUAAUACCUCAUAACACAAGAGAAACGCAUGUUUCUCUUGCCAAAGAAUUUCGUUGUGAGAUGGGCCCGCGGCGCAUUAGCUUGAUGGUGAGGUAACGGCUCACCAAGGCUUCGAUGCGUAGCCGACCUGAGAGGGUGAUCGGCCACAUUGGAACUGAGACACGGUCCAGACUCCUACGGGAGGCAGCAGUGGGGAAUAUUGUACAAUGGAGGAAACUCUGAUGCAGCAACGCCGCGUGAGUGAUGAAGGUCUUCGGAUUGUAAAGCUCUGUCUUCUGGGACGAUAAUGACGGUACCAGAGGAGGAAGCCACGGCUAACUACGUGCCAGCAGCCGCAGUAAUAC
rnacentral:rRNA from 1 species